UCAAGUGGAGUACUCCUUCUAAGCUAAAUAUCACCACGAGACCGAUAGCGAACAAGUACCGUGAGGGAAAGUUGAAAAGCACUCUGAAUAGAGAGUCAAAAAGUACGUGAAACUGCCUAGGGCUCAAGCCCGUUGAACUCGAUUAUCCGAGCGGAGAUAUUCACCUGUGGCUGGCCGGCGACGGCAGGCCACAGGGCACUUAUCUCCUGCUUCCACAAGGACAUUGCGAUCCAUUACGAAACGUUGCUCCGCAAGGGGCAAUCGCCCGACAAUGCCCCCCUGGCACUGGUUGCUUGGUCCACAGUAGCGACGCUCAGUUCUGAAGGCCUGUGCCGCGAGGUGGACCUUACUGUGCGUGGUGUGGCGUCGGGCGCGUGAUGGAUUUCCGCGCGCACCGUCUCGUAUGCUUGCAUACACCUCCAGCGAGGGGACGGACUGCCGAUCGGCAAUGAUAAAAUCGAGGUACCUUCGGGACCCGUCUUGAAACACGGACAAGAAAUUUCACA
rnacentral:rRNA from 1 species